rnacentral:rRNA from 1 species
UACGAGGGGGGCGAGCGUUGUUCGGAAUUAUUGGGCGUAAAGAGCGUGUAGGCGGCCAGGUAGGUCUGCUGUGAAAACUCGAGGCUCAACCUCGAGACGUCGGCGGAAACCAUCUGGCUAGAGUCCGGAAGAGGAGAGUGGAAUUCCUGGUGUAGCGGUGAAAUGCGCAGAUAUCAGGAAGAACACCCGUGGCGAAGGCGGCUCUCUGGGACGGUACUGACGCUGAGACGCGAAAGCGUGGGGAGCGAACAGG